GAAGUUAGCGGCGGACGGGUGAGUAACACGUGGGUAACCUGCCCAUAAGACUGGGANAACUCCGGGAAACCGGGGCUAAUACCGGAUAACAUUUUGAACUGCAUGGUUCGAAAUUGAAAGGCGGCUUCGGCUGUCACUUAUGGAUGGACCCGCGUCGCAUUAGCUAGUUGGUGAGGUAACGGCUCACCAAGGCAACGAUGCGUAGCCGACCUGAGAGGGUGAUCGGCCACACUGGGACUGAGACACGGCCCAGACUCCUACGGGAGGCAGCAGUAGGGAAUCUUCCGCAAUGGACGAAAGUCUGACGGAGCAACGCCGCGUGAGUGAUGAAGGCUUUCGGGUCGUAAAACUCUGUUGUUAGGGAAGAACAAGUGCUAGUUGAAUAAGCUGGCACCUUGACGGUACCUAACCAGAAAGCCACGGCUAACUACGUGCCAGCAGCCGCGGUAAUACGUAGGUGGCAAGCGUUAUCCGGAAUUAUUGGGCGUAAAGCGCGCGCAGGUGGUUUCUUAAGUCUGAUGUGAAAGCCCACGGCUCAACCGUGGAGGGUCAUUGGAAACUGGGAGACUUGAGUGCAGAAGAGGAAAGUGGAAUUCCAUGUGUAGCGGUGAAAUGCGUAGAGAUAUGGAGGAACACCA
rnacentral:rRNA from 1 species